AACGAACGCUGGCGGCAGGCUUAACACAUGCAAGUCGAACGGAUGUAGCAAUACAUCAGUGGCAGACGGGUGAGUAACACGUGGGAACCUUCCUCGUUGUACGGGACAACUCAGGGAAACUUGAGCUAAUACCGUAUACGUCCGAGAGGAGAAAGAUUUAUCGCAAUGAGACGGGCCCGCGUCGGAUUAGCUAGUUGGUGGGUAACGGCCUACCAAGGCGACGAUCCGUAGCUGANCUGAGAGGAUGAUCAGCCACACUGGGACUGAGACACGGCCCAGACUCCUACGGGAGGCAGCAGUGGGGAAUCUUGGACAAUGGGCGCAAGCCUGAUCCAGCCACGCCGCGUGAGUGAAGAAGGCCUUAGGGUUGUAAAGCUCUUUUGCCAGGGACGAUAAU
rnacentral:rRNA from 1 species